UACGUAGGUGGCAAGCGUUGUCCGGAAUUAUUGGGCGUAAAGCGCGCGCAGGCGGUUUCUUAAGUCUGAUGUGAAAGCCCACGGCUUAACCGUGGAAGGUCAUUGGAAACUGGGAGACUUGAGUGCAGAAGAGAAGAGCGGAAUUCCACGUGUAGCGGUGAAAUGCGUAGAGAUGUGGAGGAACACCAGUGGCGAAGGCGUCUCUUGGGCCGUGAUAACGUCGUGAGGACGAAAGCGUGGGGAGCGAACAGG
rnacentral:rRNA from 1 species